rnacentral:misc_RNA from 1 species
CAUUUCAUCACUGUUCUUCGCUCCUACGAGCUGGCGCUCGCUUCGUCAUGAGCGCGCAGAUUCACGUACGUGUACGCUACUACGGUCGUCCUAAUCCUUUUGUGAUCUGUUUUGGUGGUGGGGCCGUGCAGACAUGUUUGUCGAAGCGGUGGUCUUGGUGGUGGUGCUUCUCAUCUGCUGGUAUGUGAACUUCCGUCCACGCUCGACGAAUCAGCUGCGGCCUUCUUAUCAAAGUCAUCACUCAACGUCCAGCGUUCCUGCCGGCGACUAUGUCGUCAUCGGCGGAGGCGCUGCAGGGCUUGCCGCUGCGGCGGAGUUGCUGCGUCGCACCAACGAAAUAUGUCACAUCGUCCUGAUCGAGAGUGGGGGGGACCCGCAGCCAGCGUCUUCAGCAGCCCUCCUCUUGGAAGCCGGGCGACGCGAUCGGCUGCUGUCCUUCGCGCCGGACCUUGUCCAGGUCCCACUGGAAGCGCGGCUUAAGGGAAUGCACCCCACCUUCCUGGGCGGCACACCCGAUGAAGGUUACCUUGCUCAGCGCCCAUGGCGCUUUUUCCAGGCGGAGGAGGCCCUCGUGGCCGCCCCCGCGACGGCGGGCGAAGCAACGGUGACAGCAGCGGCACCAAAGGCGAAUCGAUAUUCGCUCCUCCAGUACGCGCCCUACCCUCGCGGAGUCGGGCUGGGCGGCACAGCGCAGCUGGAUUGGGGCAUGCACAUGAAUUCUCUCUGGCCAGUCGCGGACGAGGCAGUGCCAUGUGCCGAAAACGCAUCGUCCCGCGCGGCGCAGAGCAGCUGUGAAUCAUUGCCGCAGUGGACUCGGUUGCCUGUGCGCUUCGCAGCCGUCCGCAAUCCUCUCUCCUGGGCCUUUGCCGAAGCCGUCAAAACCCUCAAGCUGGCUGCCCCAUACCUGCCCACGACGUCCGUGCCUGUCAAGCGGGGUGUCGUGUUUCCUUGCUACCUGUACCUCGACGAAGAUGGCAGGCGUCUCGCAUUGCCUUCCGCUCUGCUGGGCGAUAUUGCCGCAGACACGCUGCACCGGCGACUGAGCGUGCUGACAGGGUACACGGCAAUAGACGUCGACGUGGCGACGCAGGAUGGCGGCGAAUCGGAAGAGCGUGGACUGCGUGUGACAGGUGUGCAAGUGCGCCCCAGCCGCGGCGACGCAGGUGCGAUCGUCUCCAUCCCCGUCGGAAAGGGCAUAGUCGUUGCGGCCGGCGCUUUACACAGCCCGCGCCUGCUACAGAGGGUGGCCAAACACCCUGCUCUGCACGUGCUGAGGCCGCCACCGUCCACAGUCCCUGUGCGCGAUGCGCUGGCGCUGCCGCUCAUCUUCUCCUCGGUGCCGGCAGUAUCGGCGGACAGCUUCAAUGCGCGGGAUGCGAGGUCGACUGCGAUGUGGUGGCUCACGCAGCGAGGCCCGUACUUGACACCGCUGUGCGACACUCUCUUGUCGCUACCGCUGCCGCACAUCGCCCCGCAGGCGGAGCUGCGCGUUGUUCUCUUCCCCUUUGGUGGGCGCGACGCCGCCCGCUUCACGGGCAUGGGAUGGGACACCGUACUCGGAACUCCGCUUCAGGGCUUCACAAUGCUUCUCAUCGUUCAUGGUAUUGAUGGGUUGGAGCAUGCGCUGGCGCUGGAUACAAAGGCGUCUCCACCUGGUGCAACGCAUGCCCGCGCGCUCUGCUCUCACCAGGCUGUCUGCCCUUUGUCCGAGGAGGUGCACCACCAGGUCCAAAACGCAUUCCUUGCAGGCAUCAAGGAGUGCCGCCGCCUCAGCGAAACCCCACCGCUGUCGAAUCUAACGUUGGAGCCGGGAGUCGAAUCAACUGACUUUACUCUCCUCGUCGCCAGUGACGAAGCGAAGGCUGUUCGACUCGCGCAGCUUUCCCGACUGCCGCCGUCGAAGCACUCGGCUCGCGGGAAGGUGGAGCUGAAAGAACUGCGCGAGUGGUCGCACCGCGUCACGGCGACGGAGACGUACAUGCGCCGCUAUGUGGACGCGCACGCAUAUUGGCUUGGCUUUGCCAGUGGCAGCAGCGAGGCCUUUUUGGCCUCAUCGUCGUCUGCGUCCUGCUCGUCGCGGGUCACAGGGCUGCGAAACGUGUUUGUUGGGGACAGCUCCGCAGUUACCACUGCGCAGUGGUCCGAUGUGGGAAAGCGCGAUACACUCGCGGCAGGCAGCCGUAGCACCAGCAUGGAUGCCGCAGUGCGGGCGGCGACGGAGCUUGUGAAAAGCUGCGGUGAUUUGUAGGGGCGUGGGUUUGAGCAAGGGGGUAGUGCAGCAGUGUUCAGGAGGACGCGCGCGCAGCUGCGGGGAACCCGGGCGCUCUCGCGCACACGUCUUGUUCCGUGUGUGGCGUCUGCCGAUGGCGCGGGAAACCCAAACGUAUCGAAAGCCCUCUCUAUGUCUCCCCUAGCACUUGGCGCGCGCUAAGGAUCAUGCCUGUGCCCUUGGAAAUCAUGUCGCUACAGGCUCCUGCUCCUCCAUGUUUUACCCGAACAACGUGAGGCAGCGUUGAAGGAGUUUGUAUGCGGAGCUCAAGUGUGCGUGCUCGUAGGUUUUGGCUGUCGUUAGGUCCCGUAGAUGUUCACAAUGGUGUUUUCUAUCGACGUAGCGCCAAGCAGCAACGCCAGGAGCCGGCGAAUGGGGAAGACGGGCAUGGCAUGCUGCAGUGAGGUGACAUUGUACGAGCCUGCGCGGAAGCGACUAAAGACGAGGCUCGCACGCCGAGCCACUUCCUUCUCUUCCUCGACUCUCUCGACACCCUG